GAUGAACGCUGGCGGCGUGCUUAAUACAUGCAAGUCGAACGGAGAGGUAUAGCGAUAUAGCUCUUAGUGGCGAACGGGUGAGUAACGCGUUGGUGACCUGUCCCGAAGAGAGGGAUAACAGUUCGAAAGGACUGCUAAUACCGCAUAAUCUGUAGAUGAUUAGAAGCAACUACAGGAAAGCAGUAAUGCGCUUUGGGAGGGGCCUGCGUCCCAUCAGCUAGUUGGUAAGGUAAAGGCUUACCAAGGCGACGACGGGUAGGGGGCCUGAGAGGGUGAUCCCCCACACUGGCACUGAAACACGGGCCAGACACCUACGGGUGGCUG
rnacentral:rRNA from 1 species